rnacentral:rRNA from 1 species
AUUGAACGCUGGCGGCAGGCCUAACACAUGCAAGUCGAGCGGAUGAAGAGAGCUUGCUCUCUGAUUCAGCGGCGGACGGGUGAGUAAUGCCUAGGAAUCUGCCUGGUAGUGGGGGACAACGUUUCGAAAGGAACGCUAAUACCGCAUACGUCCUACGGGAGAAAGUGGGGGAUCUUCGGACCUCACGCUAUCAGAUGAGCCUAGGUACGAUUAGCUAGUUGGUGAGGUAAAGGCUCACCAAGGCGACGAUCGUUAACUGGUCUGAGAGGAUGAUCAGUCACACUGGAACUGAGACACGGUCCAGACUCCUACGGGAGGCAGCAGUGGGGAAUAUUGGACAAUGGGCGAAAGCCUGAUCCAGCCAUGCCGCGUGUGUGAAGAAGGUCUUCAGAUUGUAAAGCACUUUAAGUUGGGAGGAAGGGCAGUAAGUUAAUACCUUGCUGUUUUGACGUUACCGACAGAAUAAGCACCGGCUAACUACGUGCCAGCAGCCGCCGUAAAAC